UACGUAGGGUGCAAGCGUUGUCCGGAAUUAUUGGGCGUAAAGAGCGUGUAGGCGGCCAGGGAGGUCCGUUGUGAAAACUCGAGGCUCAACCUCGAGACGCCGAUGGAAACCCCCUGGCUAGAGUCCGGAAGAGGAGAGUGGAAUUCCUGGUGUAGCGGUGAAAUGCGCAGAUAUCAGGAAGAACACCCGUGGCUAAGGCGGCUCUCUAGUACGGUACUGACGCUGAGACGCGAAAGCGUGGGGAGCGAACAGG
rnacentral:rRNA from 1 species